UCCACUAUGGUACAGUGGUAAAAGCACCCCGCAAAAAAAAAACAUAAACAAUAAGCGGGUGGUUGGAGGUUCGAAUCCUUCAGGUGGCA